rnacentral:tRNA from 1 species
AGUAAGAUGCCUGACUAAAGGGUUAUUUUGAUAGAAUAAAUUAAGUGACUAUAAUUCACCCUUACUA